GUCCCCCUGCACUGGCACUGCAGCUAACCCACAUGCGGAUAGGCAGUGGCAUUCACCACUUUCCAGUCCAGCAACCAAGGCUGGCUGUGAGGCUCCUACCGACGUUCCUCCUCCGCCAGCUCUACUGAAUCAUCCAGCCCUUCCAGAAAAGGUCAUUAGAAAUGAAGAGGAAUACUGGAAUAUAACUUACAUGUUGUCCUGAGGACCUAAAUGGACAUGUGGCCACAAGAACUACCUGCGGAGGGGAGGCAGACCCCUUUAGAACCUCUCGGGUGGUCAACAAACCUAUCCUUGGGCUGACAUUUGGAAACUACUGAUCUAAUCUGAUCCUCUUAUUCUACCCAUCAAGAAGCUAUGCCCUUUAAAAAAUAAAUAAAAUUUUUAAA